AUUAUACGGCGAAACUGCGAAUGGCUCAUUAAAUCAGUUAUCGUUUAUUUGAUAGCCCCUUACUACUUGGAUAACCGUGGUAAUUCUAGAGCUAAUACAUGCUGAAAACCCCGACUUCGGAAGGGAUGUAUUUAUUAGAUUAAAAACCAAUGCCCCUCGGGGCUCACUGGUGAUUCAUGAUAACUUAUCGAAUCGCACGGCCUUGCGCCGGCGAUGGCUCAUUCAAAUUUCUGCCCUAUCAACUUUCGACGGCUGGAUCUGGGCCCGCCAUGGUGACAACGGGUAACGGAGGGUUAGGGCUCGGCCCCGGAGAAGGAGCCUGAGAAACGGCUACUACAUCCAAGGAAGGCAGCAGGCGCGCAAAUUACCCAAUCCCGACUCGGGGAGGUAGUGACAAUAAAUACUGAUACAGGGCUCUUUUGGGUCUUGUAAUUGGAAUGAGUACAAUUUAAUUCCCUUAACGAGGAACAAUUGGAGGGCAAGUCUGGUGCCAGCAGCCGCGGUAAUUCCAGCUCCAAUAGCGUAUAUUAAAGUUGUUGCAGUUAAAAAGCUCGUAGUUGAACCUUGGGCCUGGCUGGCCGGUCCGCCUCACCGCGUGCACUGGUCCGGCCGGGUCUUUCCCUCUGGGGAGCCGCAUGCCCUUCACUGGGCGUGUCGGGGAACCAGGACAUUUACUUUGAAAAAAUUAGAGUGUUCAAAGCAGGCUUAUGCUCGAAUACAUUAGCAUGGAAUAAUAGAAUAGGACGCGCGGUUCUAUUUUGUUGGUUUCUAGGACCGCCGUAAUGAUUAAUAGGGACAGUCGGGGGCAUCAGUAUUCAAUAGUCAGAGGUGAAAUUCUUGGAUCUAUUGAAGACUAACUACUGCGAAAGCAUUUGCCAAGGAUGUUUUCAUUAAUCAGGAACGAAAGUUAGGGGAUCGAAGACGAUCAGAUACCGUCGUAGUCUUAACCAUAAACUAUGCCGACUAGGGAUCGGACGAUGUUAUUUUUUGACUCGUUCGGCACCUUACACGAAAGUACAAGUUUCUGGGUUCUGGGGGGAGUAUGGUCGCAAGGCUGAAACUUAAAGAAAUUGACGGAAGGGCACCACCAGGGGUGGAGCCUGCGGCUUAAUUUGACUCAACACGGGGAAACUCACCAGGUCCAGACACGAUGAGGAUUGACAGAUUGAGAGCUCUUUCUUGAUUUCGUGGGUGGUGGUGCAUGGCCGUUCUUAGUUGGUGGAGUGAUUUGUCUGCCUAAUCGCGAUAACGAACGAGACCUUAACCUGCUAAAUAGCCCGCGUUGCUUUGGCAGCGUGCUGGCUUCUUAGAGGGACUAUCGGCUCAAGCCGAUGGAAGUUUGAGGCA
rnacentral:rRNA from 1 species